ACGGGCUGGUCGUUCUUGGUAAACUGAAUAACUUGGUCAAAGAAUGGAUUUCAGAACUUGGUGAGAGCAAGGUGCUGGUGAGAAAAGUCCACAGGCUGCAGAUUGCAGAUGGCCGCUAAUGUGCCGUGCAGCUGUGGCGCUGGCCACCCUGGCGUCCAUAGUCCUUCUGGCAGCUUUGGGUCACCUGGUUAAAUCGCUGCUGAAGAAUAGGAAACAAGAACCACAGCUUCCUCUUGUCAACGUUGCCUCAGAGACAGACGCAGCUACAAGUGAAGCCAAAGCAAAUUCAGAAAAAGAAAGAAAACUCACCCAAAUUGCCAUGGAAGCAGAAGAACUCGCCAAUAAGUGGACUUAGUACAAUAACUGAAGA